CGGGGGGGCAAGCGUUGUUCGGAAUUACUGGGCGUAAAGGGCUCGUAGGCGGCCAACUAAGUCAGACGUGAAAUCCCCAGGCUCAACCUGGGAACUGCGUCUGAUACUGGAUGGCUUGAAUUCGGGAGAGGGAUGCAGAAUUCCAGGUGUAGCGGUGAAAUGCGUAGAUAUCUGGAGGAAUACCGGUGGCGAAGGCGGCAUCCUGGACUGACAUUGACGCUGAGGAGCGAAAGCUAGGGGAGCAAACGGGAUUAGAUACCCCGGUAGUCCUAGCCCUAAACGAUGAAUGCUUGGUGUAACGGGUAUCGAUCCCUGUUGUGCCGAAGCUAACGCAUUAAGCAUUCCGCCUGGGGAGUACGGUCGCAAGGCUG
rnacentral:rRNA from 1 species